rnacentral:lncRNA from 1 species
AAUCAUACCGCUUGUUUUCUUAUCUACACAAUAAGCAUUAAUCACUUUAAUCUGUAAUUGUUUCCUUCUCAAAUAAUAACACACCUGCAGCUGCCUCAUUCGUUUUACUUCCCAACCAUGGCCUCAUAUGCAGGAAGCAAUAUCUGUCAGUACUAUGGUAAAUAUUUUAUUUGCUUGGUAAGUCAUAUAUGCCGCGAAGAGGUUUUUUUAUGAAGGUCAAGGCUUCCGGCAGUCGCGGUUCGGUGCGGCGCUCGACGUACUCAACCUUUUGGAUAAAGACAAGGUGGACACCGCUGAUAUGCCACAGGCAGUAGAUGAGCCUUCCAAGGAUAUUUAUCAACACAGUCAGCCAGCAGUGUCCGAUGCGGGCUCGCUGGAGGAUGAGAUAAUGCGAGCUUGCGUUAAGUAAGCUGGGUUAGUUGGGCGUAAGGCCCAAUGCGUAACUGUUAGACUAACUGUUUCGCAACGGCCCGUGUCCUCAGGGCCGUCAUUUAUUGCGCGCAUUAAGCUGGUUAGCUUAUCUUGUUUUUGUUGUUCAGCGCGCGCUGAUCAACAAAACAGGUCCCGCGCCUUCGGCGCGCUUUCUGUUACUAUACCGCUGUGCCUUCGGCUCGUCAGCGAGACCCAUCGGGUAGAGUGCAGUGGAGAAUAUAAAGCACUAGCACCAUAGAGUUAGCCCACCUUAUUGAAGCACCUUUAGUAGUGCUAGUGGCGGCGCAUGUCCCGGUAUCGCUAGGCAUGACUCCGCUGGUGGAGGCAACUCACAGCUAUCCUACAUAGCUAACUGGAAUGUCACAGACUGGCAUUUCCUCGAGGGCUUCUGCGACGCAGUUUAUGCCCCCUGCUUUCUCCGGAGCGGGUCAACAACUCCCGCCCACCCCGGACCCAACAAGCUUGCCCCUGCAGCUACAACACUAAAUGUCCGCUUGACGACGUAUUUCAUCAAGCUCAUCGCCGAGGUUUGGGCGCGACGCUGAAGGUUUGCUCUUCAGCGGAUCAGGAAAUCGACGUCCGCCCACACCGGUGGUGGCUAUGUGUGCGCUGUGUCCCAUCCCUUCCGCGUGGCGACGGGCUCUACAACCCCAGGCGUGGAGUUUCCGGGGCAGCACGAGUAGUUCGAUAUGUCCACCACCUCCGUGCCCCUGCAUGCUAGGGCCUCGGUGCGGCUGGCCGCUUGGAAGGCAAUUGGAGCAGAUGCGCGCACAUUGCACGUCUUGAAGCAUGGUGUCCCGGUGGAGUUUCGAGGUAACCGCCCCCCGCCUGCUUUUGACCUGCCAAGUUUUCCUGCUACAGACGAGCAGAGCCGUUGGUGGUUGGAGAAGGAGGAGCCUCGCCUGGUGGCGCUCGGGGCCAUCUCGCGGGUAGACCCCUCCCGUGCGGUUGAUCAUGUGGUGAACGCCUUUUGUGUCCCGAAACCGGACAGUGGUUCUUGGCGUUUGGUCGUCAACCUGAAGAGGAUGAACGUAGCGCAGAAAGCUUACAAGUGCCGGUAUGAAACCCUCCGCACUCUGCGGCGUAUGGGCCUCGAGGGCUCCUGGAUGGUGAAGGUUGAUUUGGUGGACGCUUUUUACCACAUCCCUAUUCGCCCAGCGGAUCGGCGUUUCUUCACUUUUCGUUUUUGUGGUGUUCUGUACGAGAUGAACGCCCUGCCUAUGGGGUGGCUAAAUAGCCCGUAUUGGUUUACGAAAAUCAUGCGCAAUGUGGUGCGUUUUUGGCGGGAUCCUUGGCNNNNNNNNNNNNNNNNNNNNNNNNNNNNNNNNNNNNNNNNNNNNNNNNNNUACGCAUAUUAUGUUACAAGAUCGCGAGAGCCCGUAAGGCCCAGACGAGGCAGGAGGCUCAUGGAUCGUGAGUUCGGAAAAUUAGAUGAUAAUAUGCGUCAUUAUGGGGACGCCGCCAGUGCCGUACCGAAGGUGUCCUAUUCGAGAUUGGCAUUGAUUUUCAUUGAUUUUCAACAUAGAUCAAAUCAUACCGCUUGUUUUCUUAUCUACACAAUAAGCAUUAAUCACUUUAAUCUGUAAUUGUUUCCUUCUCAAAUAAUAACACACCUGCAGCUGCCUCAUUCGUUUUACUUCCCAACCAUGGCCUCAUAUGCAGGAAGCAAUAUCUGUCAGUACUAUGGUAAAUAUUUUAUUUGCUUGGUAAGUCAUAUAUGCCGCGAAGAGGUUUUUUUAUGAAGGUCAAGGCUUCCGGCAGUCGCGGUUCGGUGCGGCGCUCGACGUACUCAACCUUUUGGAUAAAGACAAGGUGGACACCGCUGAUAUGCCACAGGCAGUAGAUGAGCCUUCCAAGGAUAUUUAUCAACACAGUCAGCCAGCAGUGUCCGAUGCGGGCUCGCUGGAGGAUGAGAUAAUGC